UACGAAGGGUGCAAACGUUGCUCGGAAUUAUUGGGCGUAAAGCGCACGUAGGCGGCUUGGUAAGUUGGAUGUGAAAUCCCUCGGCUUAACCAAGGAAGUGCAUCCAAAACUACUGAGCUUGAGUACUAAAGAGGAUCGCGGAAUUCCCGGUGUAGAGGUGAAAGUCGUAGAUAUCGGGAGGAACACCAGUGGCGAAGGCGGCGAUCUGGGUAGAUACUGACGCUGAGGUGCGAAAGCGUGGGGAGCAAACAGG
rnacentral:rRNA from 1 species